UGUUGCCGAUGAAUCUACGACCUUAUUUUUUAAAUCAGGAACUAUUUUCCAAGAAACUAUAGUUAUUUCUUGUCUUUAUCUAUUUCUUCUAGAUCGACAAUCCCCGUGCUAGGACAGCAGGGAUGUGUUAAUGUUUUUUGUAAA